rnacentral:misc_RNA from 1 species
AACGCACAUUGCGCCCCUUGGUAUUCCGAGGGGCAUGCCUGUUCGAGCGUCAUUUCACCAAUCAAGCCCGGCUUGGUAUUGGGUGCGGCCCCCGCCAGUCGGCGGGCCCCCCCGAAAUGAAUCGGCGAGGACACCGACCCCCGGCGUGUUAGAUUUCUGAACGUCAGGAGCACCGGUUUCGUCGCCGUAACAAUCUUUCUUAUCAAGGUUGACCUCGGAUCAGGUAGGAAUACCCGCUGAACUUAA